rnacentral:rRNA from 1 species
AGAGUUUGAUCCUGGCUCAGGACGAACGCUGGCGGCGUGCCUAAUACAUGCAAGUCGAACGAACUCUGGUAUUGAUUGGUGCUUGCAUCAUGAUUUACAUUUGAGUGAGUGGCGAACUGGUGAGUAACACGUGGGAAACNNNNNNNNNNNNNNNUUGAAAGAUGGCUUCGGCUAUCACUUUUGGAUGGUCCCGCGGCGUAUUAGCUAGAUGGUGGGGUAACGGCUCACCAUGGCAAUGAUACGUAGCCGACCUGAGAGGGUAAUCGGCCACAUUGGGACUGAGACACGGCCCAAACUCCUACGGGAGGCAGCAGUAGGGAAUCUUCCACAAUGGACGAAAGUCUGAUGGAGCAACGCCGCGUGAGUGAAGAAGGGUUUCGGCUCGUAAAACUCUGUUGUUAAAGAAGAACAUAUCUGAGAGUAACUGUUCAGGUAUUGACGGUAUUUAACCAGAAAGCCACGGCUAACUACGUGCCAGCAGCCGCGGUAAUACGUAGGUGGCAAGCGUUGUCCGGAUUUAUUGGGCGUAAAGCGAGCGCAGGCGGUUUUUUAAGUCUGAUGUGAAAGCCUUCGGCUCAACCGAAGAAGUGCAUCGGAAACUGGGAAACUUGAGUGCAGAAGAGGACAGUGGAACUCCAUGUGUAGCGGUGAAAUGCGUAGAUAUAUGGAAGAACACCAGUGGCGAAGGCGGCUGUCUGGUCUGUAACUGACGCUGAGGCUCGAAAGUAUGGGUAGCAAACAGGAUUAGAUACCCUGGUAGUCCAUACCGUAAACGAUGAAUGCUAAGUGUUGGAGGGUUUCCGCCCUUCAGUGCUGCAGCUAACGCAUUAAGCAUUCCGCCUGGGGAGUACGGCCGCAAGGCUGAAACUCAAAGGAAUUGACGGGGGCCCGCACAAGCGGUGGAGCAUGUGGUUUAAUUCGAAGCUACGCGAAGAACCUUACCAGGUCUUGACAUACUAUGCAAAUCUAAGAGAUUAGACGUUCCCUUCGGGGACAUGGAUACAGGUGGUGCAUGGUUGUCGUCAGCUCGUGUCGUGAGAUGUUGGGUUAAGUCCCGCAACGAGCGCAACCCUUAUUAUCAGUUGCCAGCAUUAAGUUGGGCACUCUGGUGAGACUGCCGGUGACAAACCGGAGGAAGGUGGGGAUGACGUCAAAUCAUCAUGCCCCUUAUGACCUGGGCUACACACGUGCUACAAUGGAUGGUACAACGAGUUGCGAACUCGCGAGAGUAAGCUAAUCUCUUAAAGCCAUUCUCAGUUCGGAUUGUAGGCUGCAACUCGCCUACAUGAAGUCGGAAUCGCUAGUAAUCGCGGAUCAGCAUGCCGCGGUGAAUACGUUCCCGGGCCUUGUACACACCGCCCGUCACACCAUGAGAGUUUGUAACACCCAAAGUCGGUGGGGUAACCUUUUAGGAACCAGCCGCCUAAGGUGGGACAGAUGAUUAGGGUGAAGUCGUAACAAGGUAGCCGUAGGAGAACCUGCGGCUG